ACGGGUGAGUAAUGUCUGGGGAUCUGCCCGAUAGAGGGGGAUAACCACUGGAAACGGUGGCUAAUACCGCAUAACGUCGCAAGACCAAAGAGGGGGACCUUCGGGCCUCUCACUAUCGGAUGAACCCAGAUGGGAUUAGCUAGUAGGCGGGGUAAUGGCCCACCUAGGCGACGAUCCCUAGCUGGUCUGAGAGGAUGACCAGCCACACUGGAACUGAGACACGGUCCAGACUCCUACGGGAGGCAGCAGUGGGGAAUAUUGCACAAUGGGCGCAAGCCUGAUGCAGCCAUGCCGCGUGUAUGAAGAAGGCCUUCGGGUUGUAAAGUACUUUCAGCGGGGAGGAAGGCGGUGAGGUUAAUAACCUUACCGAUUGACGUUACCCGCAGAAGAAGCACCGGCUAACUCCGUGCCAGCAGCCGCGGUAAUACGGAGGGUGCAAGCGUUAAUCGGAAUUACUGGGCGUAAAGCGCACGCAGGCGGUCUGUUAAGUCAGAUGUGAAAUCCCCGGGCUUAACCUGGGAACUGCAUUUGAAACUGGCAGGCUUGAGUCUUGUAGAGGGGGGUAGAAUUCCAGGUGUAGCGG
rnacentral:rRNA from 1 species